GGGGAUAUAGCUAAGUGGUAGAGCAUUUGCCUAGCAUGCACAGGACCUGGGUUCAAUCCCUAGCACCA
rnacentral:tRNA from 1 species